GGCUCAGGUGCCAAUGGGCGUCCUCCGCCAGCGCCCGGCACUGCGGCGGGGGGACUGCGCCAGCCGGGCCGCCCGCGGCAAGUGUUUCCGGAUAAAUUUAACUUCUGCAUCACAAAUACAAUUCACUUCAUCACGUGGGGGAAAGAAAGCAAAGAGGAACUCAUUUUGUCCUUAACAUCAUGGAAUAUAAGGCAGAUGUAGAAACUGAGGCGUGGAGAGUUUAAACAACCUGCCUGUUACGGUCACAUAGCUAAUAUGUGGAACCUAGGAAUUCUGAGUCCAGAACCGAUACUCCUAACCAUUCAUUGUACUGUGCUGCCUCCAGGACCACCUUAAGGAUGUGCAGAAGUAUCCCAGAAUUGUUUUCCAUCUAAGAUACAUCUGUUGAUCUCAUCCCAUCUGGAGCAAAGGAGAAUGAAGAAAACCAAAGACACAGGGAAAAUAUUAGCUCAAAGGAUUAAAGAACCAUGUGAACCACAGCCUCCAUCAGCCUGAGCCAGAAGAACUAGAUGGUGCCUGGCUACUGCCACCAGCUGCUUUUACACGGAUCACAACAGAGCAGGAGCAAAAUGUAGAACUCAAAUCCACUCACACACAAAAAGACUAGACUUAACUGGUCUGACAGAGACUUGAGGAACUCCUGAGGCUAUGGCCCCCAGACACUCUGCUAACUUAGAACUAAAACCAUUCCUGAAGCCCGCCUUUCAGCCAAAGAUCAGAUAGGCCUAUAAAACAAACAGUAACACACGUGAGGAAUGUGCUUCUUUUUUUUUUUUAUUAACUUUUUUUGAGCUUCAGGUGAACGUUUACAAAUCAAGUCAGACUGUCACAUAUAAGUUUAUAUACACCUUACUCCAUACUCCCACUUGCUUUCCCCCUAAUGAGUCAGCCCUUCCAGUCUCUCCUUUCGUGACAAUUUUGCCAGCUUCCAACUCUCUCUAUCCUCCCAUGUCCCCUCCAGACAGGAGACAAGUGACCACUUGAUAUAAUUAGCUCACUCUUCAUCAGCAUCUCUCACCUAGCCACUGUCCAGUCCCUUUCAUGUCUGAUGAGUUGUCUUCGGGGAUGGUUCCUGUCCUGUGCCAACAGAAGGUUUGGGGACCACGACCACCGAGGAAUGUGCUUCUUAGUUCAGUAAAAUAAAAGAGACUAAAUGGGCAAACUCUGCCCAAAAGCAAGAUGAGAAGGCAGGAAGGAGCAGGAAAACUGGAUGAAUGGAUACAGGGAAACUGGGAUAGAAAGAGAAAGAAUGCUGUCACAUUGUGAGGAUUACAACCAAUGUCACAAAACAAUAUGUGUAUAAAUUUUUGAAUAAGAAACUAACUUGACCUGCAAAGUUUCACCUAAAGCGCAAUGAAAUUAAAAAAAUAAUAAAAUUUCAUAUCUGGAGAAAAUAUCUUUUACAUAUAAACAUGAAAUAAAGACAAUCUGAGACCAAAAAAUAAGAAUUGUUUUGUGGCCUGACGUGGUCUGUCCUGGAGAAUGUUACAUGAGCACUUGAGAACAAUGUGUAUUCUGCUGUUGGGUGGUUAUCGAUAUCUGUUAGGUCUAAUUGGCUUAUAGUGUUCUGUUGUUCAAGUCCUCUAUUUCCUUAUUGACCUUCUGUCUGGUUGUUGUAUGUAUUAUUGAAAGUGGUGUACUGAAGCCUUCAACUGCUAUUACAGAAAUGUCUAUUUCUCCCCCUUCAUUUCGGUCUAUUUUGCUUCAUAUAUUUUGAGGCUCUGUUGUUAGGUAUGUGUAUAUUUGUAAUUAUUAGGUCUUCUUGACUAAUUGAACCUUUUAAUAAUAUACAAUGUCCUCAUUUGUUUCUUGUAACCUUUUGUUUUAAAGUCUAUUUUGUCUGAUAUUGAUAUAGCCGCCCCAGCUCUCUUUUGGUUACUAUUUGCAUGGAAUACAUUUUUCCAUCCUUUUACUUUCAGUGUACCAGUAUCUUUGGAUCUAAAGUGAGUCUCUUGUAGCAAACAUAUAGAUGGAUCAUGUUGCCAAUCUCUGCCUUUUAAUUGGGGAGUUUAAUCCACUUACACUUAAAGUAAUUACUCAUGAGGCAGGAUUUAUUUCUACCAUUUUGUUAUUUCUUUUCUGUAUGUCUUCAAUUCCUCCAUUAUUGCCUUUUUACUUGAUUUUUGUAGUGUACCAUUUUGAUUCCCUUCAUCUUUCUGUUCCCUUAUUGUCUUAGUCAUCUAGUGCUGCUAUAACAGAAAUACCACAAGUGGAUGACUUUAACAAAGAGAAAUUUAUUCUCUCACAGUCUAGUAGACUACAAGUCCAAAUUCAAGGCAUCAGUUCCAGGGGGAAGGCUUUCUUUCUCUGUCAGCUCUGGAGGAAGGUCCAUGUCAUCAGUCUUCCCUUGGUCUAGGAGCUUCUCUGCACAGGAACCCCAGGUCCAAAGGAUACUCCCUGCUUCUGGCACUGCUUUCUUGGUGGUAUGAGGUCUCCACAUCUCUCUGCUUGCGUCUCUCUUUUAUAUCUCAAAAGAGAUUGGCUUGAGACACUAUCUAAUCUUGUAGAUCUCAUCAAUAUAACUACCACUAAUCCAUCUACUUACACCAUAGUGACAGGAUUUACAACACAUAGAGAAAUCACAUCAGAUGACAAAAUGGUAGAUAAUUGUGCAAUACUGGGAAUCAUGACCCAGCCAAGUUGACACAUAUUUCUUAGGUACACAAUUCAAUCCAUGACAGAAACUAAAAGAAAGGUGCAUCUAGUUGAUUCUGUUCCAUUCUGUGCAGAACAUUUUUCCAUAGGACUUUUAAUGGCAGAUUUUUUUGGAAGUAGAUCACUAUGUCUUUCUUCUGAGGCACCUCUGGGUGAAGUCAAACUUCCAACCUUCCGGAUAGCAGUUGAACAUGUUAACAGUUGUCAUCAUCCAGGAAUUCCAGGAAACUAAUAUAAAUCCCCAUAUCAAAUAUGGAGCUUCUGGGCUUGAAACAUGCCACCAAGCUUGAAGGGUCUCAGGUCAACCUUCUCACUACCUGAAGAUUUCUUUCACAUCCACCUGCCU